rnacentral:rRNA from 1 species
GACGAACGCUGGCGGCGUGCCUAAUACAUGCAAGUAGGACGCACAGUUUAUACCGUAGCUUGCUACACCAUAGACUGUGAGUUGCGAACGGGUGAGUAACGCGUAGGUAACCUACCUAUUAGAGGGGGAUAACUAUUGGAAACGAUAGCUAAUACCGCAUAACAGUAUGUAACACAUGUUAGAUGCUUGAAAGAUGCAAUUGCAUCGCUAGUAGAUGGACCUGCGUUGUAUUAGCUAGUAGGUAGGGUAAAGGCCUACCUAGGCAACGAUACAUAGCCGACCUGAGAGGGUGAUCGGCCACACUGGGACUGAGACACGGCCCAGACUCCUACGGGAGGCAGCAGUAGGGAAUCUUCGGCAAUGGGGGGAACCCUGACCGAGCAACGCCGCGUGAGUGAAGAAGGUUUUCGGACCGUAAAGCUCUGUUGUUAAGGAAGAACGAGUGUGAGAAUGGAA